GGAGCAAACAGGAUUAGAUACCCUGGUAGUCCACGCCCUAAACGAUGUCAACUGGUUGUUGGGGGAGUGAAAUCCCUUAGUAACGAAGCUAACGCGUGAAGUUGACCGCCUGGGGAGUACGGUCGCAAGAUUAAAACUCAAAGGAAUUGACGGGGACCCGCACAAGCGGUGGAUGAUGUGGAUUAAUUCGAUGCAACGCGAAAAACCUUACCUACCCUUGACAUGUCCGGAAUCCUGCAGAGAUGCGGGAGUGCCCGAAAGGGAAUCGGAACACAGGUGCUGCAUGGCUGUCGUCAGCUCGUGUCGUGAGAUGUUGGGUUAAGUCCCGCAACGAGCGCAACCCUUAUCAUUAGUUGCUACGCAAGGGCACUCUAAUGAGACUGCCGGUGACAAACCGGAGGAAGGUGGGGAUGACGUCAAGUCCUCAUGGCCCUUAUGGGUAGGGCUUCACACGUCAUACAAUGGUCGGUACAGAGGGUUGCCAAGCCGCGAGGUGGAGCCAAUCCCAGAAAGCCGAUCGUAGUCCGGAUUGUUCUCUGCAACUCGAGAGCAUGAAGUCGGAAUCGCUAGUAAUCGCGGAUCAGCAUGUCGCGGUGAAUACGUUCCCGGGUCUUGUACACACCGCCCGUCACACACCAUA
rnacentral:rRNA from 1 species